UUGCACCACAGUGUUUGUCAACUAGAAUGGGGAUUCCAUUACGUUGUUAAAUUAUAAUGUAGAGCCUGCUUAAAGUAAAAUAACAAAUGAGCAUCUUAAAUUGGUAAUGCAUUGGUAGAAUACUUUCUCAAGAGGUAUGGAAAAGAGAGAAACACUCCUAAUCUGCUCAAACAGCUCAUCAAUUCCUUAUAGUAGGCGACCGUUGAACCGAAUUAUAGAGGAAACCUUGUAGACACUUUAAAGUGUGAGUGUAAGAGAUUUGCCUGUUGGAGGAGGAGAAAGGAAAUAGGACCUCAGGGAAGGUUUGGAUAAUCAACCAUAUAAGGAAUUGGAUUUUUGUCAGCAUGUGAGAUAUAAUGAAAAAACACAAUUGAAAGGAGAAAGAAAUAACUCUCUUCUAUCCUUCGUGGUGAUUGGCCACACGUGGGAGCACAAUCAAAGCGUAACAGCCACUGGGCGAGACCCCUGUUUCCAGGCCACAACCACGAACUCUCGUCCCUGGCCUGAAAGUCAUCAGGGCUUUCCUAACUCCAGACGAACUAGACUGCGCUUCAUAAACACGAGCUCUUUUUAAGUCAGCCUCUCUAAAGCUAAGGCUAGUUCAACAUCUGAGAUGUGAGAUCUAUCAAACUCCAGAGACUACAACACUCAAAAGAAAAAGUCAUCCAAGUUUUUAGACUUUCUUAGGUCUCAGUGGUUCUUAAUCAUCAGAUCAGGUUUUGGAAUUAAGAUUAGGGAAAGCUUUGGAGAAGAGAAUUGGUGGAGUAAAAUGCAGGAAGGAGAGAAGAAGGAAUCGUUAUCCUCUUUUUCCUAAAAUAGAGGUUUGAGGGCGGAGUGGGAAGGGGCGUAAACUUGACUCAAAAAAGCUCAGUGUCUUUUGAAGAGGAACCUUCAGGAACAAGGUCUACUCCAUUCGGUCCCAUUUAAAAUUAUUUUUGAGGAGCCAUUAUGAGUCAGGCAUGAUGACAGGUCCUGGGUUGAGGGAGAUAAAUACUCUGAGUGCAGUCUUUGAGAAGCAAGCCCACGAUAGAGUAAGACAAGCAAGGAAACCAAGAAUGACCACAGAGCCACAUUUUGUUUUAAUGCAAGUUGACGAAGUGACUCGCUGUUCUCCAAGUUUCAAGCAUUAGGGCCUUGACCUUGGUCGCUAUCACUGCCCAGAACACUCUCUUCCAGGAUACACACAUGGUUAAGUCUCUCAUCUCUGUCCUGUCUUUGUGAAAAUAUCACCCCAUCUAUAAGCCCUUCUACCAUCAUCCUAUUUAAAAAUUGCAACCCACACACUCUGGCCUUCUCCAUCCCCCUUACUCUGCUCUACAUUUUUUUCCAUCACUCAUUAUCUGCUGACAUACUUCACAUUUUUUCUUUUUUUUUUUUUUGUUGGGGAAGAUUAGCCCUGAGCUAACAUCUAUGCCCAUCUUCCUCUACUUUAUAUGUGGGACACCUGCCACAGCAUGGCUUGACAAGCAGUGCGUAGGUAUGCACCCUGACCGGAACUGGCGAACCCCAGGCCGCCAAAGUGGGGCGUGCGAACUUAACCCCUACGCCAUCCACUGGCCCUGAGUGUGCUCUAUUUUUAACACAUAGCUCAGCUCUGCAUCAGAUGAUGCUUCAAAAUAUCAAGAAAAGAUUCUUCUUUAAAAAAUCCAGCAAGGGAGAAGAUAAAGAUGGCAUGGUUAAAGGCUGGAACGGAAAGGAGACCAACAGGGCUCCAGCCCAGAACAGCAACUGUGGAAAAGAAUCGAGCCUGAGACUCACUUUUUGCUCUCCGAGGAAGGAGGGCAUGAUGGACUUGUCCCCUGAGUGCUGCUCUGUAGCGGGUCCUGAUCCAGGUGCGGAGCGUGGGUGCUGCCACCCCAGGAAUCCUACCUGUUUUUAGCUUGAUGCUCAGUCUGCACUCACUGUUGACGCUGUGUGGGGGACGUGGCUUCCGGAUCCAGGAACACGGCCCCACUACAAGGAACGUCCUCAGGACAGGACGGGAGAGGUCCUAAUAACAGUCUUCCCCCUAACAACGCCCUCCUGAUUUAAAUAAAAUCUCACAUUUUGCUUUUAGAGUGUGUAAUAUUAUAUUCCCUUUAUGAUAAAAGAGGAAAUCUGGAAUAACGCAAAAAUAAUGCCCGACGAACGCCUCCACCGGGGAAUUUCUGAACAAUAAUCCCAAAACCAUAGAGGUGUGUCAAUGGGUUUUUAGUGACACUACAUAUCGUAAGUGACCCCGUCUCCCAAAUACAGUCAAUUUUAUCCAGCCACAAAAGAUUCACAAGUGCUGCCUUCCUCCUUUCUCUUCUAAGACCCAUUUCAUACCUUUCCUCUCUGUGCACAGAAAUCUUCUGUAGAAAAGCGGUUUCAAGUAGAAACAUUUUAUUCAACACAUUUUAAAUUCCAAGGAGCCUCCUGGGCAUUUUAAUAAGUAACGUUUAUUACACAAAUCCGACUGUAAGCUUCUAGCAGACCAAAAAUAGGUGUUUGUAUUAUUUUCCAUAUUAUAUUUAGUAGUGUCAUGUAAUAAAGUUCUUACUAAAUAAUGACUGUGUUAACAGGCCCGUGCUAUUAUCUCAUGCCUCCUAGGUUUGGUAGUCGGUUUAUUUUCCUCUAAUGGCAUACAGCUCUGGUUUACACAUAAGUUUUACAAAUUUCGCUUUGAUUUCAGAAGUGUGUUUUUUUAAGAAUAAAUUAAAUAGCUGUGGUCCAUUAAGAAAAAAAUUCUCCCUUUGUGUGUGUGUGUGUGUGUGUGU
rnacentral:lncRNA from 1 species